rnacentral:rRNA from 1 species
UACGUAGGGACCGAGCGUUGUCCGGAUUUAUUGGGCGUAAAGAGCUCGUAGGCGGUUCGGUAAGUCAGGUGUGAAAUCUCCACGCUCAACGUGGAGGCGCCACCUGAAACUGCCGUGACUCGAGUCCGGUAGGGGAGUGUGGAAUUCCCGGUGUAGCGGUGAAAUGCGCAGAUAUCAGGAGGAACACCAAUUGCGAAGGCAGCUCGCUGGGACGUAACUGACGCUGAGACGCGAAAGCGUGGGGAGCAAACAGG